GGCCUGGUGGCCAAAUGGUAAGGCAUCUAUUUCGGCUUCUAACGAGCUUCUCUCUGAAGAUUAUGUGUUCGAGCCGCACGUGGGUCG